rnacentral:rRNA from 1 species
CAAUAGCGUAUAUUUAAGUUGCUGCAGUUAAAAAGCUCGUAGUUGGAUUUCGGGUGGGAAUGGCCGGUCCGCCGUUUCGGUGUGCACUUGCUACGCCCACCUUGCUGCCGGGGACGUGCUCUUGAGUUCACGCUCGGGACACGGAGUCGGCGAGGUUACUUUGAGUAAAUUAGAGUGUUCAAAGCAGGCCUACGCUCUGAAUACAUUAGCAUGGAAUAACACGAUAGGACUCUGGCCUAUCUUGUUGGUCUGUAGGACCGGAGUAAUGAUUAAGAGGGACAGUCGGGGGCAUUCGUAUUUCAUUGUCAGAGGUGAAAUUUUUGGAUUUAUGAAAGACGAACUACUGCGAAAGCAUUUGCCAAGGAUGUUUUCAUUAA